rnacentral:rRNA from 1 species
AUGACUCUCGGCAACGGAUAUCUCGGCUCUCGCAUCGAUGAAGAACGCAGCGAAAUGCGAUACUUGGUGUGAAUUGCAGAAUCCCGUGAACCAUCGAGUUUUUGAACGCAAGUUGCGCCCAAAGCCUUUCGGCUGAGGGCACGUCUGCCUGGGUGUCACGCAACGU